UGGGACCAGUGGCCAUGGUUUUAGACCACAAUUCCCAACCUACAACACCAUCAGUGAGACGGCAACUCAUUCAUCCAGGUAUGUAUUUUAGGGCACUGUUUUGUGAAGUAUUCUCUGCGUUUCCCCCAUGCUUUUUGAAACUCUUGUCUAGUGUGAUCUCUAAUUGCCUCUGUUAAUCUAGCCAGUUCAAUAUACUCUAACAGUUUUUCUUGCGAUUCCUUUUUUGUUGGCACAGUUUCUUUUUUCCAGUUUUUAGCAAUUAGAAUCCUUGCCGCUCCUGUGGCAUAGAGGAAUAUUUUCUGAUCUUCUCUUGCUAUACCUGUGUCCGUUAUCCCUAGUAGAAAAGUUUCUGUAUUUUUCAUAAAGUUAAACUUAAACAUUUUUUUAAACUCGUCAUAUACUAUGUUCCAGAAGCUUUUGGCCAGUCCUAUGGCUUGCAGCCAGCAAGCCAAAAUACCCAGUUUAAACAUAACACUCUCAUAUCAAGAGGUCGACAUGACCCAACGUUUUAGCUCCUCUGGCCAGUUUUAUCUUUUAAAAUAAGGACAAUUGGAACACUUUAAAUAAAAGAUGUUUCUUAGCAACAGGACCAGGCCUGGUCACCUUUGGUUAGGUGGCAAAUGAACUUCAAUAUGCCAUCUCUUACUUGCAUUUAUAUUCUAAACUGAAAAGUCCCCUAACACUGCAAUGUUUCCUCAUGGCAGCUGUGAGGGUGGGGGGUCAGAGGGAGGAAGGAAAUCUGCCUGAUUACAAAAGUCAAUUCAAAUUCCAUGCUAGGGAUUAUUAGGAAGGGAUCUGAAUCUCUAAUGUGGAAUUUCAUCCAGCUGGACCAUAAAGAAGGCUGAUCGCUGAAGAAUUGAUGCUUUUGAAUUAUGGUGCUGGAGGAGACUCUUGAGAGUCCCAUGGACUGCAAGAAGAUCAAACCUCUCCAUUCUGAAGGAAAUCAGCCCUGAGUGCUCACUGGAAGGACAGAUCCUGAAGCUGAGGCUCCAAGACUUUGGCCACCUCAUGAGAAGAGAAGACUCCCUGGAAAAGAGCCUGAUGUUGGGAAAGAUUGAGGGCACAAGGAGAAGGGGAUGACAGAGGACGAGAAGGUUGGACAGUGUUCUCGAAGCUACCAGCAUGAGUUUGGCCAAACUGCGGGAGGCAGUGGAAGACAGGAGUGCCAUGGAGCAACCAUGCUUGGAAAACUGUGGGCAGUCCGGGUCACUGCUCCCCCCCACCCCCCCAAAAAAAGUUAGAGGAAAACUGGUAGACAAGUUAAAUUGAAAUGAUCAAGGGCUUCAGCAAAUUGCCUAUGAGGAAAGGUUGCAACAUUUGGAGCUUUUUAGGUAAGAAAAAGUUGAGUGAGAGAAGCAUGACAGAGGUGUACAGAAUCAUAGAACCAUAGAAUUGUAGAGUUGGGACCUGAGGGUCAUCUAGUCCAACCCCCUGCAACGCAGGAAUUUUUUGCCCAAUGUGGCCAAAACCCUGCUCUGCUCAGUGGAUAGAGAAAAGCUUUUCCUCCAUCUCUAAAAACACCAGAAUUUUGCAGGCAUCUAGUGAAGCUGAAAGUUGGAAGAUUUGGGACAGGAUAAAAGCAAGUUUACACAGAGCAAAGUUAAACUAUGGAACUCACUGCUGCAGGGGCCAGGGAUGCCCACCAAUUUGGGUGACUUUAAAAGAGGACUGGACAAAUUCCACGGAGGAGGAGCGGGCUAUCGGCAGCUAUAAGCCAGGGUGGCUACGCCGUGCCUCCGCUGUUGCUGGAAACCACAGGAGGGGAGGAAGCGCCCUGAGUUCAAAUCCUGAUGGUUGGGUUUCCUACUGGCAUCUGGUUAGCUACUCUGAGAACAAAAUUGCUGGGCUGGAUGGGCCACUGGCCUGAUCCAGCGGGCUCUUCUUACGAUAAUGAACACGCUCACAGAAGCUUACCCUUUUCUCCUUUGGGUAAGGGGAACAGAAGUCGGUGCAGCCCCAAAGUGUAAGGCAUCCCCCAAAUUCUCUGAUCGCCCUUCAGGAAUUCCUGGCAUAGAAGCCGUCCUAUUGGCUCAAGAGGGCAUUCUUUGCGAUGGCAUGUGCCUGGGGAUAACGGCUUUUUUCUGCUGGCGUGUUGACGUGUGGGGGGCAAUACAAGCCCCAUGACAUCACCCCACCCCUUCUGAAACAAGCGCUAUCAGCGAUCCCGAGAGCAGAGCUGAGUUUGGCCACCUCCUCCCUCCCUCCCUCCGGAAAGGGUGCCGAUAUUUUACUUCUAAGGUUUUUCGCCUGACCUUUCGCCAUAGAGUCCCAGGGAAAGUGACCACAAUUUGCUAUGGGGGUGGGGGUAGAUCAGUUAGUAGAGCAUGAGACUCUUAAUCCCAGGGUCGUAGGUUUGAGCCCCACAUUGGGUGAAAGAUGCCUGCAUUGCAGGGGGUUGGACUAGAUGACCCCCCGGUGUCCCCGCUGAUGCUUUUUAAAGCCCUAAGUGUAAGCAUCUUGAAUUGGGCCCUAAAACAAUUUGGCAACUGGUGUGUAUCUUGGGAAUAUUGUUGUCUCCUGUUCUGUUGCUGUUUGGGGUUUUUUGCUAGGGUUGGGAUGGGGGACAGAGAAGUCAUCUCUCGGGUCUUUUGUAAUAGGCUUCAGAUCUCCUUCCCCCUGAUUUCGGAAAACGUCUUUUAAAAUUGAACCCAGGACCUUCUGUAUUGAAGUUCAGUGCUCUACCAUGAACCACUAAUAAUAAUAAUAAUAAUAAUAAUAAUAAUAAUAAUAAUAAUGCAGUGGUACCUCGGGUUAAGUGCUUAAUUUGUUCUCGAGGUCCAUUCUUAACCUGAAACUGUUCUGAACCUGAAGCACCACUUUAGCUAAUGGGGCCUCCCGCUGCGCCGCCAGAGCACGAUUUCUGUUCUCAUCCUAAAGCAAAGUUCUUAACCCGAGGGACUAUUUCUGGGUUAGCGGAGUCUGUAACCUGAAGCAUAUGAAACCUGAAGUGUAUGUAACCCGAGGUACCACUGUAAUAAUAUAUUAUUUAUACCCUGCCCAUCUGGCUGGGUUUCCCCAGCUACUCUGGGAGGCUUCCAACAAAGUACAGUGGUACCUCAGGUUACAGAUGCUUCAAGUUACAGAUGCUUCAGGUUACAGACUCCGCUAACCCAGAUAUAGUACCUUGGGUUAAGAACUUUGCUUCAGGAUAAGAACAGAAAUCGCGCAGUGGCAGCGGGAGGCCCCAUUAGCUAAAGUGGUACCUCAGGUUAUGAACAGUUUCAGGUUAAGAAAGGACCUCCGGAACGAAUUAAGUUCUUAACCCGAGGUACCACUGUAUUAAAAUACUGUGGUCAUUCCCUAAAAAGAAAACAAGCUUGCUGUCCCCAUGGUAUCUUGUUGGGCUCAAACCUGCCUUUUACUGAGUUGGACCAAUUGGUCCACCUCGCUCAAUACUGCCUACGCUGCUGGCAGGCAGCAUCUCUCCCUGGUUUCAGGCAGGCUAUCUCCCAGCCCUACCUGGGGAUCGAGCCAGGGACCCUUCUGCAUGCCAAGCAGAUGCUCCAGCACUGAGCUACAUCUCGUCCCGGUGAUUCACGUCACAUUCCUUAAGAAGAAGUCAAGUUUGCAGUCCUCAUGGUCUGAAUAAAGUGAACAGGAGGGUGCCACUUCACAGCCCGCAGGUAUUGGUGGGGAUUGAACCGGAGGCCUUCUGCAUGCCAAGCAGGUGUUCUGCCGCUGAGCCACAGCCCUUCCCUGCUGGCCCACUGCCCUGGUCGAAAGGCGUCCUUCAUUAUCUCGCUGCUGUUCCGUUAUCGGACUGAACUAAGAGGUCGGGCUGCUGACAUAUCAACCUCACACCCAACGCCUUGUGCGCCGCCUGCCCCGACACAGUGGCUUGACCAGAAUCCAGCACUCCUGGCUUCCACCUCCCCCCCCGACCUCUCCUCUUCUCAUCAAACAGCCCUCAUUGGCUAGAUAGGGUAGGUGACAUCACCGGUGCUGGCCAUGCAAGCCCUUCCAGGGACACAUUCCCAAGUCGAGGGUCUCUUUCCAAAACAUUGGGGUAGGGGGGUUGUCUCCAAAGCCAGCCUCUAAUUUUAGACUCCCUUCUGCAGAAAACAAACUGACACCCUCUCGAAAUAGCGUGUGAUCUGCCCAUAUCUCCCCAACCAAUAGGAGCCAGAGAUGGGCCCGCUCCCCAUCCUCGCUGCUGCUGCCGGGGUCACGGGGAGCAAGUUGCUAAAAACGGAGGUGACUUAUGGGUGCGCUCGUGGUUUAUUUAUAUUCCAGCUCAGUGAAAGCAGUCCGGGGGUGUGUGUACUGGGGAGAAUUCCAAGGGCCAGAUAGAAAGGCCCGAGGGCCACAUCUAACUCCCAGGUUUGAGGUUCCCCAUCCCUGCUGCAGCCUGUGACUCUAAACUGGACCAUCGCUUGCCGUUACUGCCCCUCGCUAUCUCCAUCACAAUUCUUUUAAUGCUCAGAUGGGGGAUCCUCUGGAUAUUGAUGGAGUCCAGCUCCCAUCAUCCCGCUCACCACUGGCCAUGUAAGCUGCAGUUGAUGGGAAUUGGAGUCCAACAGUCUCUGGAGGGCCAAAGUCUCCCCAUCCAGGAACUAGCCCAUCACUUGCCUUUACUGCCACCAGCUCCCUCCAUCACCAGUCUGGCCAUCGCUUGCCUUUACUGCCCCUAGUGAUCUCCAUUGCCACUCUAGGCAUCACUUGCCUUUACUGCCACCAGUGAUCUCCAUUGCCACUCUAGGCAUCACUUGCCUUUACUGCCACCAGCUCCCUCCAUCGCCACUCUGGUUAUGGCUUGCCUUUACUGCCCCUAGUGAUCUCCAUUGCCACUCUAGGCAUCACUUGCCUUUACUGCCACCAGCUCCCUCCAUCGCCACUCUGGCCAUCGCUUGCCUUUACUGCCCCUAGUGAUCUCCAUUGCCACUCUAGGCAUCACUUGCCUUUACUGCCACCAGCUCCCUCCAUCGCCACUCUGGCCAUCGCUUGCCUUUACUGCCCCUAGUGAUCUCCAUUGCCACUCUAGGCAUCACUUGCCUUUACUGCCACCAGCUCCCUCCAUCACCAUUCUGACUAUCGCUUGCCUUUACUGCCCCUUGCAACUUCCAUCACAACUUUUAAUGUAGGAAUGGGGGGAACCUGUGAUGUUUCUAGACUACAGCUCCCCCCAUCCCUGACCAUUGGGCUGUGCUGGCUGGGGUUGAUGGGAGAUGGAGUCUGGCGGCAACCGGAGGGGACCCCUGUUUACCCACCCCAGCUAACAGAACCCGGGAGAAGAUCACGGUGGGUAUGGCUUGAAUUCUCCAAGAUCAGAAUUUGUGCCCCUUCCUUCUUUCUUUCUUUCUUUCUUUCUUUCUUUCUUUCUUUCUUUCUUUCUUUCUUUCUUUCCUGCCUUCCUUCCUUCCUUUUCCCACCCACUCCACAUCCUGCUGAAACUCUCAAAAGGUGCUUUUAAUUAGCCAGCUUUUGUGGACACUUGGUUUUGAAAAGCGUGACCCCCCCCUUCCGUUUUGCUCACCUCAUUAAAACACAGCACAAAUAUCCCCUUGGGACAUGGUGUUGUCUGGAGACCCUUUGGAUCCAGAAAGCACCACCGCCCCGCUGCCUUUGCUUCCCCCAGCUCCGAGCCCCUUUCCCCAAAUACUGGGGUAAUUAGCCCAGCCUUUAGUUUCUGGAGUUCGGCUGAAUCAGCUAAUGGGCUGCCUACUGCUCCAGCGCACCAGAGUUUGGAGCACAAAUAGAAGCAGGCAAAUAGGACCUCCAAGACCCAGCUGGGCCACAGACGUCAGAUGUUGUUUGAGGCUCCUUUGCAAAGAUGGGCUUAAUGGCGUCUGCGGAACAGGGAUGGCCGACGUGGUACUGCCAAACUCAAAGCAGCCAAGAUGGCCAGUGCUUGAGAGUUGUGCUCCAGCAAACGUCUGCAUUGGAAAAGUUGUGAAGGAGGUAGUGAGGGUCAGCAAAGGCAAGUGACGGUCUGGUUUGGGGAGGGGGAACCUGGUGCCCUCCCAGUUAGAUUCCAAUUUCUAGCAGCCCCAGAUGGCACAGCUGGUGGUUCCUGUUCUGACAUUGAAGGUAGGCUGGGACAGUAAUGGCAAGUGAUGGCAAGUGAUGGCAGCAAUGGGAAACCCGUGAUAUUCUUCUUCUUUAUUUGACAAAUAAUAAUAAUAAUAAUAAUAAUAAUAAUAAUAAUUUAUUAUUUGUACCUUGCCCAUCUGGCUGGGUUUCCCCAGUCACUCUGGGCGGCUUCCAACAAAGACCAAAAAUACACUAAAAUGUCACACAUUAAAAACUUCCCUGAACAGGGCUGCCUUCAGUUUUCUUCUGAAUGUCAGGUAGUUGUUUUUCUCUUUGACAUCUGGUGGGAGGGCGUUCCACAGGGCGGGCACCACUACCGAAAAGGCCCUCUGCCUGGUCCCCUGUAACUUGGCUUCUCGCAAUGAGGGAACCGCCAGAAGGCCCUCAGCGCUGGACCUCAGCGUUCGGGCAGAACAAUGGGGGUGGAGACGCUCCUUCAGGUAUACUGGGCCGAGGCCGUUUAGGGCUUUAAAGGUCAACACCAACACUUAAUAAUCAUACAUAAAUAAGAUACAUAAAUUAACCGUACAUAAAUUAUUACAAAGUAAUAAUGAAGGUUUUGUUGGCGUAGUAUGUAAUGAAUUUUAAUAUUUUUUAACUAUUGUUGUGUUAAUGUUUGUGUACAGGCAUGGUCCUCACAAUAAACGGAUUUGAUUGAUUGAUUGAACAAAGUAAUAAUCAUACAUAAAUAAGAAUAAAAAUGUGCACCCCACCCCUGAGACCAUUCCAUUGCAACUAUCCAACCUCCCAAAAUUUCAACGCCUCUUGCGAUGGUUUGACCCCUUUCCAUUUUAACAGCACAAAUUUGACAAACACCUUCCACAUCUCCUCAAAAUCAUUUCUCCUGCAUAUUCCCAGUCUUACCUUAAUGGCACAUGUCAAUUUAUCAUUCAUAGUUAUAUCCCACACACCUCUUUAUACCACCCUUCCAUUUUAUAUUCCGCUUGCCCCUUCCACUUCCUGGCUAUCAUAAUUCUUGCAGCUGUCAAUAACUUUGUGAGUAAGUCCUUCAUAGCCUGCCUAUGAUAUUCUAGGCAUAUUUGGAAUCCAACUCCCAUAAGCCUCAGCAGCCUGCAGGGCCAAUGGUCAAUGGUGAUGGUGAUGGGAGUUAUAGUUUGGCAAGGACCAUGCGUUUCUUACCCUUGCUUUAGAAAAGGGUGGUUCAAUGUGUGGCCUGAGGGCUGCAUGUGGCCCUUGAGGCUUUUUUUUUUUUUUUUGGCCCUGGGCAACAUUUGACACUCCCCCCCACCCCACCCCACCCCAGCCCUUGCUCUGCCUUCCUAGAGCUCCGUAAGUGAGACACUGGGCUUUGUGAAGGAGAUGUGAGGACAGCCUAGUGCAGGGGUCAGCAAACCUUUUCAGCCGUGGGCCGGUCCAUUGUCCCUCAGACCUUGUGGGGGGCCAGACUAUAUUUUUUGGGGGGAAGGAGAAUGAAUUCCUAUGCCCCACAAAUAACCCAGAGAUGCAUUUAAAUAAAAGGACACAUUCUACUUGUUAUGUACUGAGUUGAAUAGGAUUCAGAAUGCAGCAGUCUGAUUGGUCCUAGAACAAUAGGAUACAGAAUGCAGCAGUCUGAUUGGUCCUAGAACAAUAGGAUCCAGAAUGCAGCAGUCUGGUCCUAGAAUAGGAUCCAAAAUGCAGCAGUCUGAUUGGUCCACAGGAGCCACCCAAUCCAGCUCCAGGUGGAAGUGAAUCCACAACCUGAUUGACCUACAGGAGAAUCCCGGAAUUAGCCAAUCACAUGGGGCCCAUUGUGUAAAUAAUGUAUAUAAAGCAGACAUUCUGGGGGAACUUCCAUUCCUCCUCACCACUAUGAGCUGAAUAAAGAGCAUGAAAUCAGCUCUCAACUCCGAGUAUAUUUCACUAAUCAUGUAAAAACAUGCUGAUUCCCGGACUAUCCGCGGCCGGAUUGAGAAGGCAACUGGGCCGCAUCCGGCCCCCGGGCCUUGGUUUGCCUACCCCUGGCCUAGUGCCUCCAUUGGGCAGCUUUGGGAAGGCAGUGCAAGGGCGGGGGAGGUGGUAAAUCAAAAUUUGGGCUCACUUCCCAACACAGUAUUCUGUGUCGAAGUACUCUUACAGCUCUCUUGGUAUGAAAAAUUGGACCGCCCUGCUUUAGAAGAAGACAGAGUCAUGAUCGAGAUAACUAAGGGCAGUGAAGGCAAGUGAUGGUCUCGUUCAGGGAGGGAAAACCUCUGGUCCUCUUGGACAGGGUCCAACUUGCAUUGUUGCCAGCCAGCAGGGUCAGAGAUGAAGGGAGAUGGAGUCCAGCAGUAUCAUGGGGUCAUUGCUUUGGGGCUUCCCAGAAGAAGCAUCUGGGUUGACUUCUGUGAGAGCAGGAUGUUACCAUGGUUCUCUUUAUAUGUAUGUAUGUGUGUGUGUGAAUUUUCUGUUUUACAAUUUAAAAUACUCAUUUGUUGUUGUUGUUUAGUUGUUUAGUCAUGUCCGACUCUUCGUGACCCCCAUGGACCAGAGCACGCCAGGCACUCCUGUCUUCCCCUGCCUCUCGCAGUUUGGUCAAACUUAUGCUGGUAGCUUCGAGAACACUGUCCAACCAUCUUGUCCCCUGUCGUCCCCUUCUCCUUGUGCCCUCCAUCUUUCCCAACUUCAGGGUCUUUUCCAGGGAGUCUUCUCUUCUCAUGAGGUGGCCAAGUAUUGGAGCCUCAGCUUCAGGAUCUGUCCUUCCAGUGAGCACUCAGGGCUGAUUUCCUGAAGAAUGGAGAGGUUUGAUCUUCUUGCAGUCCAUGGGACUCUCAAGAGUCUCCUCCAGCACCAUAUUUCAAAAGCAUCAAUUCUUUGUCGAUCAUAUCAAUACUUCCCUUCUUCUCUUUCCAUGACUCAUUUUGCACAACAUAAAUCCCUGCAUAUUUCACAUAAACAAAUCCAUUCAGUAUGCCAUUAUUACAUCCGUCAAAACUUAUUUACAUUGUUGAAUUUAUCUUAGUGCUGCCAACGUUUUAAGUGUACACAGUCUCCCCCCAUAUAUUCAAUAAACAGUUUCCAAUCUUCUCUAAACGUAUGUUCUUCUUGUUCUCUUAUCCUAGCUGUUAGGUCCGCAAGCUGCGCAUAUUCCGUCAACUUAAGUUGCCAUUCUUCUUAGGUCGGGAACUCACUCGUUUUCCAUUUUUGGGCUAACAGAACACGGGCCACAGUAGUGGCAUACAUAAAUAACCGUUUUUGACACCUGGGAAUUUCCUUCUUAAUUAUCCCCAAAACUUGCUAAAAUGUAUAGAAAUCAAGAUAAAGACUGUUGGAAAUGUAAGGAGAAGGAGGGGAAUUUCCUUCACAUGUGGUGGACUUGUACCAAGGUGAAAGCCUUCUGGGAAAUAAUAUACAAUUAAUUAAAAAAUGUUUUUAAAUAUAAUUUCAAUAAAAUACCAGAGACAUUUUUGUUAGGUUUAAUUGGAGAGGAAAUUCCAAAAAAAGAUGUAAAUUUGUUUAUGCACAGCGGCUGCAAGGAUACUUCUGGCUCAGAAAUGGAAGCAGCAGGAACUUCCAACAUUGGAAGAAUGGCAGAUCAAGAUGGUGGAAUACGUAGAGUUGGCAAAGUUGACGGGGAAGAUCUGGAAUCAACGCGAUGAACUGUUUCAAAAGGACUGGAGCAAAUUUAUAUUUUAUAUGAAAGAGCAUUGUAAACAUCUGAAAACGUUUGUAGGCUUGAGCUGAAACGUUUUGUAAUGUGAAUAUAAGGAAUGGAUUUACAUAUAAUGAGGUGAAAUAUUAAAAGAAGAUAGAAGGUAAAAAAGUGGCUAUAGAAAUGCUAAGAAUUUAGUAAAGAUGUCUGGAAGUCAGAAAGAGGGAGGGAAGGAAGUCGAUGCUCAAUUUGAGCAAUGUUUUAAGUUAUAGAAUUAUGUAACAGAAUGUGAUUAUGAUAAAUAUGGAAAACACAAUUUUUUAUUUUUUUAAAAAAAGAAUUAUCCCCAACGAAAAGGACUCUGGUUUUGUGUUGCUGUUUUUUUUGAAAAAUACUUUUAAACAUUUUUUUCAAUUCAUUAUGGAUUAUUUCCUGAAACUCUUUUAUCCUUUUUCAGGUCCAACUAGUGUGGUUCUUCAUUUGGGCAGGAGGCUUCCUCCACUGUCUUUUUAACCUCCCGGUCUUCUGCUCCGUCUGAUGGGAAUGGCACACUGGGCGUUGCCAAACCCACAUGGGUGUGGAGCAAGUUUUCCUUGGCAUCAUCUGACAUGCAGAAGUGGUGACACGCUCCCCCCCUUCUGUGCUCAGCUCCCCCCCCCCCAGCCUUUGCUGCUUUCGGACCUUUAUUGGGCCUGAUAAAGGGAGGUGUUUGUGUGGAAAAAAAGGAUGCCUGGGAGUUUAGCUAAUGAGAAGGAGGGAAAGGAGCCCACAGACCAGAAUCUCUCUGCUGCAGGCAAAGCAGGGAAACAACUAUGGAAAGCAAACUUCCGAUGAACCUUGCAUUGUAUAAAUAUAAGUUUGUAGGGAAGUUAACAGAAACGAUAUAAGAAAUAUGUAAUUGUGCGGUAUAAGAUAAUCCACAGAUAGAGUACAGCGAGACUAAUUGGAAGUCGUUUUUAAUUUCUAGUUUUACAAUCGUUCACAUCAUUGGGAGGACAAAGGAUGUUAGUUAGAAGAAUUGUGUGUUUCAUAUAUUGCUAAAGAUAAAGGUAAAGGGACCCCUGACCAUUAGGUCCAGUCAUGACAGACUCUGGGGUUGCAGCGCUCAUCUCGCUUUAUCGGCCAAGGGAGCCAGCAUACAGCUUCCGGGUCAUGUGGCCAGCAGGACUAAGCCGCUUCUGGCGAACCAGAGCAGCACACGGAAACGCCGUUUACCUUCCCGCUGGAGCGGUACCUAUUUAUCUACUUGCACUUUGAUAUGCUUUCGAACUGCUAGGUUGGCAGGAGCAGGGACCGAGCAACGGGAGCUCACCCUGUUGCGGGGAUUCGAACCGCUGACCUUCUGAUCUGCAAGUCCUAGGCUCUGUGGCUUAACCCACAGUGCCACUCGCGUCCCUUGAUAUAUUGCUACUGUCUGUCAAUUUAUAGUUUGUUUAUUUGAUUGUAUGUUUCUCUGCUGGUUGGUUUGCUUUCCUAGCAUAAAUGUACAAUCAUACCUCGGGUUGAAUUUGUGCUCUGCGGCAACCCAGAAGUAACAGAACGUGUUACUUCCGGGUUUCGCCGCUCGCGCAUGCGCAGACACUCAAAAUGACAUCACGCACAUGCGCAGAAGCGGCAAAACGUAACCCGUGGAUGCGCAGACGUGCCGUCGCGUCUUACAUUCUGUUCAGGAUGCAAACAGGGCUCCGGAACGGAUCCCGUUCGCAUCCCGAGGUACCACUGUAUCUAUUUUAAAACAAUAAAGAUAUACAUGUUGGAAAGCAAACUUCCGAAAUGAAAUUGGGCAUCUGGUCGAGUCUGGUUCAGAUUUGAGGGGGCAAAAUUACACUCCACAUCUCCACCCCCACCCAUGACUCCCCUGUGAGGAACGGAGUCAGCUUUUUGGUUUAGAGGGGCUUUUUGGUUUAGAAAAAAGGCAAGAUUGACAUGUUAGAAGUUUCAGUAUACCUGAAGGAGCGUCUCCACACCCAUCAUUCUGCCCAGACACUGAGGUCCAGCGCCGAGGGCCUUCUGGUGGUUCCCUCAUUGCGAGAAGCAAAGCUACAAGGAACCAGGCAGAGGGCCUUCUCGGUAGUGGCGCCCACCCUGUGGAACGCCCUCCCACCAGAUGUCAGAGAUAAACCACUACCUGACAUUCAGAAGACAUCUGAAGGCAGCCCUGUUUAGGGAAGUUUUUAAUGUGUGACAUUUUAGUGUAUUUUUGGUCUCUGUGGAAGCCACCCAGAGUGACUGGGGAAACCCAGCCAGAUGGGCGGGUACAAAUAAUAAAUAAUAAUAAUAAUAAUAAUAAUAAUAAUAAUAAUUAUAGUGUGCCGUGGAGAAGGCAGAGAGAGAAAAGUCUGGGCGUCCCAUAAAGCUGAACGUUGGAAGAUUGAGGACAAAUGAAACUGCUCCUUCAUGCGGCACAAAGUUAAACUGUGGAACUCCCUGCCACAGGAGACGGUAAUGGCCACCGUUCUGGAUGGCUUUAAAAGAGGACCAGGCAAAUGCAUAGAGGAUAAAACUCUUGAUGGCUACUAGCCAGGAUGACUAUGCCGUGCCCAUCACAGAUGGAGGCAGUGAUGCUUCUGAAUGCCAGUUUCUGGAAACCAAAGGAGGGGAGAGGGCUCUUGUGUUCGAAUCCUGCUUGCGGGUUUCCCUUUGGGGCAGCUGGGUGGCUGCUAUUAGAACAGGAGGCUGGCUUAGAAGGACCAGAAGGUUCUUCUUAUCGUCUUAUCCUAGGAUGGGUUUUGGCAAUUUAAAAAAGACUACAGUAUAUGAAAGGGAUGCAGGUGGCGCUGUGGGUUAAACCACAGAGCCUAGGACUUGCCGAUCUGAAGGUCGGCGGUUUGAAUCCCCACGAUGGGGUGAGCUCCCGUUGCUCGGUCCCUGCUCCUGCCAACCUAACAGCUCAAAAGCACGUCAAGUGCAAGUAGAUAAAUAGGUACCACUCCGGCGGGAAGGUAAACUGCGUUUCCGUGCGCUGCGCUGGUUCGCCAGAAGCGGCUUAGUCAUGCUGGCCACAUGACUUGGAAGCUGUAUGCCGGCUCCCUCAGCCAAUAAAGUGAGAUGAGCGCCACAACCCCGGAGUCGGUCACGACUGGACCUAAUGGUCAGGGGUCCCUUUACCUUAGCAUGUUUAACAAACUACAGUUCCCAGAAUUCCUUUGGGAGAAGUCCUGUGCUUUAAAUGCAUGGUGUGUAUUUAGUGUUGAGUUCUACGUUCUACUCUAUGGACCCCCUGAAAUGAACAAGCCUUGGUUAGUCAGGCCUGUUAACAUCAACGGGUCUACUCUGAGUAGGAGGAGUAGCAAGGGUUGCAACCCAAGGAAGACAAUUUUGAAUCAGAGAUGGAAAGAAGAUAAAAGUCCCGACCAGAGAAGAAUGGCAGAUUAAGUUGUUGGAUUAUGGCGAAACAGCAAAAAUGACCGGAAGAAUCAGAAAUCAGGAAGACUAAAAUGUCAAUAAGGAAUGGGGAAAUUUUUAAAAUUUAUCUUAAAAACCAUUGUAAACGGCUAAAAUUGUUAGUAGGAUUAGAAUAACACUUGCAGUUUAAUGGUGAAUUUUGGAUAUAAUGGAGAUAUCAAAGAUGUGAAUUAACAUAAAAGAUGCAGGAAGAGAUGACUAACAAUAGGACCCACAAAGGAGAGGGGAGAAUUCCAGAAGAGUCCUUAGAAUCUUUGUUUUUAUGUCAUAUGUUGGAUAUGUGUAAAACUGUAAUUUGAAAAACUGUAUAUGUAUAUCUCUCACAAUUUGGAAUCAGAAGGCUAAGAUGGGGUAUCAGGUGUCAAAGGUCAGGGUAAAGGAACACACUUUUAAUGUCAUAAUAUAUCUUCAAAACAUGAUGAAAGCCGUACAAGGAAGGUGCAAGACUUCUGAGGGGAAUCAAAUCUGUAUUUGCUAAAAUAUCCCUUGUGGAUAGGCCUUGGCUGCCACCUAGUGGUCAUUGUAUGUAAGCUCAGCUUUUGCUCACUGAUUUAACUCUCUUGCAGGAAAAAAAGACAACGCAGAGUCUUAUGACACAAUGAAGACUGACAAAUUUAUUGUUUUUUAGACAGAAAUCGGGACACAGAUUAAUUAGACGCAUGGCACUGCUUGAUCCUAACUGUUUGGGUCUAACCCUAGCCUGGGACAGCUUGGUCUGUAGAGCAUGAGACUUUAUCUUGGGGUCCUGGGUUCGAGUCCCAUGUUGGGUGGAAGAUUCCUGCAUUACAAGACACUGGACUAAAUGGACCUGAUCUUCUAAUGUUCUUAUAUACUGUCCAUAAAUAUCCACAUCAACAGUGACUUAGGAAUCUGCCUAGUGCUAACCGCAAGCGAAAAUGAAUGCUGGACACUAAAGCAUAGCAGUUUGAGAAAUGCGUCUUCAGAUUUUGGGUGCCAUAGGAAAAUCUGUUUUCCCAGUGUGUUAUGUACUGAGCUGAAUAGGAUCCAAAAUGCAGCAG